AUUGAACGCUGGCGGCAGGCCUAACACAUGCAAGUCGAGCGGGAGCGGGAAAGUAGCUUGCUACUUUUGCCGGCGAGCGGCGGACGGGUGAGUAAUGCCUGGGAAAUUGCCCAGUCGAGGGGGAUAACAGUUGGAAACGACUGCUAAUACCGCAUACGCCCUACGGGGAAAGCAGGGGACCUUCGGGCCUUGCGCGAUUGGAUAUGCCCAGGUGGGAUUAGCUAGUUGGUGAGGUAAUGGCUCACCAAGGCGACGAUCCCUAGCUGGUCUGGGAGGAUGGGCAGCCAGACUGGAAAUGGGACACGGUCCAUACUCCUACGGGAGGCAGCAGUGGGGAAUAUUGCACAAUGGGGGAAACCCUGAUGCAGCCAUGCCGCGUGUGUGAAGAAGGCCUUCGGGUUGUAAAGCACUUUCAGCGAGGAGGAAAGGUUGAUGCCUAAUACGUAUCAACUGUGACGUUACUCGCAGAAGAAGCACCGGCUAACUCCGUGCCAGCCGCCGCCGUAACAC
rnacentral:rRNA from 1 species